GAACCGACUCUGACGUCAUCGCCUCAGUCUGCGCACGCGCACGGAGUAUAAAACGCGGGUUCGCAUGUUCUUUCUUCCCAGUUCCUUCUUUCUUAGCCAGGUAUGUGGGCUGUUGGACCAUGGAGUUGUGCUGUAGUGCUUACUCAGACUCUGAUCAUACUGGAGCCGAAUGGAUGACCUCAAAUUCAUCAGACUUUGUUUCAUAAGUCAUUCACACCUUUAAAACAGGAAGAAUUCUGGAGGACCAGAGGGACAUCACAUGAUGAGUGACCUUUGAAUGGCCACAUGUGAAGGCAUUUGAGAGCCCUUCAUUUUGAAGACUCUGCACUGUCCAUGUGGAGAAGUUGAAGUACAUAAUGGCCCUUCAGUCCAGUGUUUACCAGUUAUGGGGGGAAAAAAGCCUUUUAUUCAUGGGAGUUGACCUACUGUUCUAACAUGGUGUUUUUUUUUU